rnacentral:tRNA from 1 species
GGAGAGAUGGCUGAGCUGGUCGAAAGCGCUCGACUCGAAAUCGAGUGUGCCGCUAACAAGUGGUACCGUGGGUUCAAAUCCCACUCUCUCCG